UACGUAGGGGGCAAGCGUUGUUCGGAAUUAUUGGGCGUAAAGGGCGCGUAGGCGGUCUGCCAAGUCCGGGGUGAAAGCCCCCAGCUCAACUGGGGAAGUGCCUCGGAUACUGGCGGACUUGAGGGAGGCAGGGGUUGUGGGAACUUCCGGUGGAGCGGUGAAAUGCGUUGAUAUCGGAAGGAACGCCGGUGGCGAAAGCGGGUUGCUGGGCCGACACUGACGCUGAAGAGCGAAAGCGUGGGGAGCGAACAGG
rnacentral:rRNA from 1 species